GAGUUUGAUCAUGGCUCAGAACGAACGCUGGCGGCAGGCCUAAUACAUGCAAGUCGAGCGCGCCCUUCGGGGUGAGCGGCGGACGGGUGAGUAACGCGUGGGAAUAUGCCCUUCUCUAAGGAAUAGCCUCUGGAAACGGAGAGUAAUACCUUAUACGCCCUUUGGGGGAAAGAUUUAUCGGAGAAGGAUUAGCCCGCGUUAGAUUAGGUAGUUGGUGGGGUAAUGGCCUACCAAGCCUACGAUCUAUAGCUGGUUUGAGAGGAUGAUCAGCCACAUUGGGACUGAGACACGGCCCAAACUCCUACGGGAGGCAGCAGUGGGGAAUCUUGCACAAUGGAGGAAACUCUGAUGCAGCGAUGCCGCGUGAGUGAAGAAGGCCUUUGGGUUGUAAAGCUCUUUCGUCGGGGAAGAAAAUGACUGUACCCGAGUAAGAAGGUCCGGCUAACUUCGUGCCAGCAGCCGCGGUAAUACGAAGGGACCUAGCGUAGUUCGGAAUUACUGGGCUUAAAGAGUUCGUAGGUGGUUGAAAAAGUUAGUGGUGAAAUCCCAGAGCUUAACUCUGGAACUGCCAUUAAAACUUUUCAGCUAGAGUAUGAUAGAGGAAAGCAGAAUUUCUAGUGUAGAGGUGAAAUUCGUAGAUAUUAGAAAGAAUACCAAUUGCGAAGGCAGCUUUCUGGAUCAUUACUGACACUGAGGAACGAAAGCAUGGGUAGCGAAGAGGAUUAGAUACCCUCGUAGUCCAUGCCGUAAACGAUGUGUGUUAGACGUUGGAAAUUUAUUUUCAGUGUCGCAGGGAAACCGAUAAACACACCGCCUGGGGAGUACGACCGCAAGGUUAAAACUCAAAUGAAUUGACGGGGACCCGCACAAGUAGUGGAGCAUGUGGUUUAAUUCGAAGAUACGCGCAGAACCUUACCAACACUUGACAUGUUCGUCGCGACUCUAAGAGAUUAGAGUUUUCGGUUCGGCCGGACGAAACACAGGUGCUGCAUGGCUGUCGUCAGCUCGUGUCGUGAGAUGUUCGGUUAAGUCCGGCAACGAGCGCAACCCACAUCUUUAGUUGCCAGCAGGUUAAGCUGGGCACUCUAGAGAAACUGCCCGUGAUAAGCGGGAGGAAGGUGUGGAUGACGUCAAGUCCUCAUGGCCCUUACGGGUUGGGCUACACACGUGCUACAAUGGCAGUGACAAUGGGUUAAUCCCCAAAAGCUGUCUCAGUUCGGAUUGGGGUCUGCAACUCGACCCCAUGAAGUCGGAAUCGCUAGUAAUCGCGUAACAGCAUGACGCGGUGAAUACGUUCCCGGGCCUUGUACACACCGCCCGUCACACCAUGGGAGUUGGUUCUACCCGACGACGCUGCGCUAACCCUUCGGGGGGGCAGGCGGCCACGGUAGGAUCAGCGAGUGGGGUGAAGUCGUAACAAGGUAACC
rnacentral:rRNA from 1 species